AGACUGCUUUUGAGGAAGCACACCAACUCCAUCGUUAAGGGAUCAUAGUUUUCUUAGUUGUGCAAGAUCAUCAAUUUAACCAAAGAUGGAGAAAAUUCUGUAGAGAAAGUUCACAAGAGGCAAACAAAAAAGAGCUCAAAAGAAACAGAGAGUGUCAAGAAAGCAAAAAAUCUGACAAUGACAUGGCAAGACGAGCAGCGAGCAAGGCUAGAGAUCUGAAGUGGAUCAGAUGGGAUAUGGCAUUUAUGCAACAGAGAUCUGGGCUGUUGGAGGAAGAGAACAUGAAGCUUCGUGAUGGGCACCUUGGUAAAGCUUGGAGAUCUCGAAGAAGCUAAGGCUGUGCUAGAUGACUGGACUUCUACUUGCCACACAUACGACUUCAGAGUGCCGAACAUACUGCUGAUGGGAUAUUGUUAUAAGGGACUCCCCAAUAAAUUCGAGGCUCAGCUUUGGGAUAUUACCGAAAGGGGAUAAUUACCGACUUUCCUUCCCAAAGGCCAUUGAUUUUCCACGGCUUCUGGAACACUCUUAUCAGCCGCAUGACAUGAUUCUUGAGAACAAGAAGCCAAAAGAGUGUUGUGAAGCAGUUGAUCAUGCU